rnacentral:rRNA from 1 species
UACGUAGGGGGCAAGCGUUGUCCGGAUUUACUGGGCGUAAAGCGCCUGUAGGCGGCCUGUCAAGUCCGGCCUGAAAGCCCCCCGCUCAACGGGGGAGGGUGGCUGGAAACUGGCAGGCUUGAGGGCGAGAGAGGAGGGUGGAAUUCCUGGUGUAGCGGUGAAAUGCGUAGAGAUGUGGAGGAACACCAGUGGCGAAGGCGGCUCUUUGGUCUGUAACUGACGCUGAGG